CUAAGAAUAUUCCGCAAUGGGAGAAAUCCUGACGGAGCGACGCCGCGUGAACGAAGAAGGCAGAAAUGUUGUAAAGUUCUUUUAUAUGGGAAGAAUAAGAUUUGAAGUGGAAUGUCAGAUUGAUGACGGUACCAUAUGAAUAAGCCACGGCUAACUACGUGCCAGCAGCCGCGGUAAUACGUAGGUGGCAAGCGUUGUUCGGAUUCAUUGGGCGUAAAGGGCAUGUAGGCGGUUUGAUAAGUGUGAAUUUAAAUACCGAAGCUUAACUUCGCGUUUGGUUUGCAAACUAUCUAACUAGAGUGCAGGAUGAGAGACUAGAAUUCCGCGUGUAGGGGUGAAAUCUGUAGAUAUGCGGAAGAAUACUUGUGGCGAAGGCGAGUCUCUGGCCUGUAACUGACGCUAAUAUGCGAAAGUGUGGGUAGCAAACA
rnacentral:rRNA from 1 species